UACCGGAGCUCAUCAGGCGAGACCAAAAGGUAACCUAAGCAUGUAGAUACUGUUUUUGGGAUGCCAGAGGACGCGGAUUCGAUUUCCGCCGCCUCCACCA
rnacentral:tmRNA from 1 species